CGGCAGCACGGGAGCUUGCUCCUGGUGGCGAGUGGCGAACGGGUGAGUAAUGCGUCGGAACGUACCGAGUAAUGGGGGAUAACGCAGCGAAAGUUGUGCUAAUACCGCAUACGCCCUGAGGGGGAAAGUGGGGGAUCGCAAGACCUCACGUUAUUCGAGCGGCCGACGUCUGAUUAGCUAGUUGGUGGGGUAAUGGCUCACCAAGGCGACGAUCAGUAGCGGGUCUGAGAGGAUGAUCCGCCACACUGGGACUGAGACACGGCCCAGACUCCUACGGGAGGCAGCAGUGGGGAAUUUUGGACAAUGGGGGCAACCCUGAUCCAGCCAUUCCGCGUGAGUGAAGAAGGCCUUCGGGUUGUAAAGCUCUUUCAGCUGGAACGAAACGGUACGCACUAAUAUUGUGUGCUAAUGACGGUACCGGCAGAAGAAGCACCGGCUAACUACGUGCCAGCAGCCGCGGUAAUACGUAGGGUGCGAGCGUUAAUCGGAAUUACUGGGCGUAAAGCGUGCGCAUGCGGAUUGUUAAGCAAGACGUGAAAUCCCCGGGCUUAACCUGGGAAUGGCGUUUUGAACUGGCAGUCUAGAGUGUGUC
rnacentral:rRNA from 1 species